rfam:Equus caballus chromosome 13, whole genome shotgun sequence.
UUUUUAGUAUAAGUAUGUCCCAUGCAAAAUUUGGGAUAUACUUAUGCUAAAA